rnacentral:tmRNA from 2 species
GGGGCUGCACUGGUUUCGACGUGGGUACGGAAUCGCUGUGGUGCAUGUCGAGCUGAAUGCGCUCGUAAAACUGAUUCAAAAAAACUAACUGCAAACGACGAACGUUUCGCACUCGCUGCUUAAACACCAGUGAGCCUUACAACAGCAGGCCGAUGGGCUGGGCAAGGGGUCUCUAGCGCAAGUUAAGGAUUCCAGGCUGUAAGGUCAUACACAUCGGCUGGCGCUGAACCGGGUACCUUGGUUUGGAGCAAGACAAUAGGGUGCUGGCGACUGUAAAAGCGUGUGGCUGCGCGAUUACAAGGGCGAGACUUAAAUCAGACCACUAAACAUGUAGAUCUGCUCGAAGAAGGCUUGCGGACGCGGGUUCAAAUCCCGCCAGCUCCACCA